rnacentral:rRNA from 1 species
AUUGAACGCUGGCGGCAGGCCUAACACAUGCAAGUCGAGCGAGCGGCGGGCGGGGGAGUAAUGUCUGGGAAACUGCCUGAUGGAGGGGGAUAACUACUGGAAACGGUGGCUAAUACCGCAUACCAUCAGAUGUGAGCCGGUGGGAUUAGCUAGUAGGUGGGGUAACGGCUCACCUAGGCGAGGAUCCCUAGCUGGUCUGAGAGGAUGACCAGCCACACUGGAACUGAGACACGGCCCAGACUCCUACGGGAGGCAGCAGUGGGGAAUAUUGCACAAUGGGCGCAAGCCUGAUGCAGCCAUGCCGCGUGUGUGAAGAAGGCCUUCGGGUUGUAAAGCACUUUCAGCGGGGAGGCGUUACCCGCAGAAGAAGCACCGGCUAACUCCGUGCCAGCAGCCGCGGUAAUAC